rnacentral:rRNA from 1 species
GAUGAACGCUGGCGGCGUGCUUAACACAUGCAAGUCGAGCGAAGCAUUUGCAGUUGAUUUCUUCGGAUUGAUUCUGUUUAUGACUGAGCGGCGACGGGUGAGUAACGCGUGGGAACCUGCCUCAUACAGGGGGAUAACAGUUAGAAAUGACUGCUAAUACCGCAUAAGCGCACAGUGCCGCAUGGCGCCGUGUGAAAAACUCCGGUGGUAUGAGAUGGACCCGCGUCUGAUUAGCUGGUUGGUGAGGUAACGGCCCACCAAGGCGACGAUCAGUAGCCGACCUGAGAGGGUGACCGGCCACAUUGGGACUGAGACACGGCCCAA